GGUGGUUCUUGGGUGAUGCAUCCUGGAAUUGGGCUCCCUCCUCUCUGGUUCUGGGUUUGUCGCCUAAGAACUGCA
rfam:Myotis davidii contig316040, whole genome shotgun sequence.